rnacentral:rRNA from 1 species
UACGUAGGGACCAAGCGUUGUCCGGAAUCAUUGGGCGUAAAGAGCGUGUAGGCGGCUUGUUAAGUCUUGCGUGAAAUCUCGGGGCUCAACCCCGAGCCUGCAGUCGAUACGGGCAGACUAGAGUGCUGUAGGGGAGACUGGAAUUCCUGGUGUAGCGGUGAAAUGCGCAGAUAUCAGGAGGAACACCGGUGGCGAAGGCGGGUCUCUGGGCAGUAACUGACGCUGAGGAGCGAAAGCGUGGGGAGCGAACAGG